ACUCCUACGGGAGGCAGCAGUGGGGAAUAUUGCACAAUGGGGGAAAGCCCAUGAUGCAGCCAUGCCGCGUGUGUGAGGAAGGCCAUUCGGGGCUUUGGUUAAAGACACUUUUCAGUAGGGAGAAGGUAGUGUAGUUAACACCUGCAUUAUUUGACGUUACCUACAGAAGAAGCACCGGCUAACUCCGUGCCAGCAGCCGCGGUAAUACGGAGGGUGCGAGCGUUAAUCGGAAUUACUGGGCGUAAAGCGCAUGCAGGCGGCCUGUUAAGUCAGAUGUGAAAGCCCGGGGCUUAACCUCGGAAUUGCAUUUGAAACUGGCAGGCUAGAGUCUUGUAGAGGGGGUG
rnacentral:rRNA from 1 species